AAACAUACUUGUUGAAUGGAAACCCAGCACCCCAAUUCCUUCUCCCCAAAUCCCAAAACUACUCACCCUUCUGGAAAUCUCAAAUAACUGCUGAAAUUUUCUGUUUUCCUGGAUAACCAAAUUAUAAUACCCUUUACAGAUGGUGUCCAUGGCUUUUAACCCUCCUUGAAAUGACAUUCAUUAAUCCCACAACUAUUUAUUGAAUGCCUCCUUGAUUCACACAGAAAGCAACCUUAGGC
rnacentral:lncRNA from 10 species